CAAAAGCCUUGGUACUUUUUUGCACGCACAGAAAAUCUUCGGAAAGCUGACAGGAAACAUUAUUAUAAGCAUUUUUUUGGGUAAUCACAACCGUCAUCAUGGCAAAGAUGAUGGAAAAAUCUGACAAAUUAGGAAAUCAAAAGAGUGUGUCAUCUCAGACCGACAUAACAGAAGAAGCUGACGUAUGCCCAUCUGUGAAAAAUGAUCCUCCCCUGCUAGAGUUGAUGAAACAGUUGAAGACCAAUCUACUUGAUUUAAGCGAUAUUAUUAAUAAUUUAAUAAAGCAUGACGAUGCAUCCGGGCCAACUGCUUUAGUCUCUACAUAUCAAAAUGUUGUGUUUUAAGUUGUGAUAAAUAAAAGUUACUUAAGUUUCAUCAGUGUCUGACUUUUUGAUUUUCCAUAAUUCUUACUAGACAAGUGGGACUGCC